UUGUUCUCACUUUUCAGCCAUGGUGUUCUCUUUAGUGACAGAAGAUAAUGAAGAUAACUGAGAAGAGCUUGGAGGGUUGUUUGGUGUCAGCCAGCCUGACAGAGUGUGAGCACAAAGCCGACUCUGGACUGCUCCAGAUUUCUUGUGGAGGCGCCCCAUGACUGGGAUGUUGAGGAGGGUCAGCCCCGAGUUGGACCAACACCAGGGGUCAGGAUGUCCUGCUGAGUUAGAAAUCUGUGAGGCCACAGCUGAGGAGACGGUAGCAGCAGCGCCCAUGGCAGCUGCUGCAGAGCCUGCCGAACUGACUUUUGAAGCUGGUGAUGGCCUUCAUGUGCACCAGAUCUGUGACCAGGAGAUACCUGAAGAUUUGGAGUCCAACCCUCCUGACCAUCUGGAAGCAAAGAAAUCUCAAACAGACAGAAUUGAUACGUCUUUGGAGUCCAACCCUUCUGACCAUCCAGAAGCAAAGAAAUCUCAAACAGAUGUUAUGGCUUUGGAGUCAAACCCUUCUGACCAUCCAGAAGCAAAGACAUCGCAAUCAGACAUACAAGAAAUAAGAGAAAUUGACCGUGUAAACCAUGUAUUUACUGAGCAUUUUACUCAAAAAUACAGUUCUUGCUCCACUAUAUUCCUUGAUAACAGCACAGCCAGCUGCCCUCAUUUUACAAUGACACUAAAAUCGUGAGUACAACUAUACUGCUAAGGGACAGUCUAAAAUUACAUCAGCCAUUUGGUUGUCCUCUUCAAUCGGUUUAAGAAAUUGGAGUCAACUAUAUAUUGAUACCAGAUUCUAAAUAUUAAGUAUCAAUUUCUCUUUUCAUCUUAUACGUCAUAAUGGAAGGAAAAAUCUGUUAGCAAAUAAGCAAUUUUAGAAAAAGUGUAGCCAUUUAUUUGAUGCUGUUUUGCCAUAAGACAAUGUUGAAUGCAGCGAGAAGGAUAGGUUCCCUGUGUUGAAUGUUUUUUGUGAGAAAUUAAUUUUUCAGUGUGUUGCAGGCCUAACUCAAUGUGUACCACUUUGGAUAUUAGUCUUAGAAGAAGGAACAGCUUUUUCUCCUCUAGGACCACAGUGUAUCUGCAUUUGAAUUUCUCCCAUUGUGCAUGAGCACCGCAUGGGCCACAAAAAGGCACUUUGAGAGCACCCUGAGAUGAAGCUUAUUUUAAAAGGAACAGCCACCACCACUACCAUAGGGGCUGUCCAGUGUACAUUAUUAUCAUCUCCUUGGGUUAUGAGUGUUGAUUUUUAGAGCACAGUUUGGAAAGUGCUGAUUUAGAAUAUUAAUGUCUUUAUGUUUAAUUUUGCUAUUCAUUCUAGAAACAUAACUCAAUAGCUUAUAAACAAUUUUGUUUUGAAUGCCCUAGCCUUUUUAACUAAUUCAAUUAUCAGUAACUUUUAAUUUAAUUAAAAAUGGUAAGUUUACACUCAUUAUAAUGUCACUUUUCUCCCUCCCUUAUAAUAAUAGUUGAGAUGAAAUUAUGUUUCAGCAAAAACUGGAAUCAAACUCUCUCUCAGGUGCUGAGCUUCAGGACAUAUUGAGUAAUCACUAAAUGUCUGUAGUCAACCAAGUCUCUUCAAUCUUUUCUCUUUUUUUUUUUUUUUGAGACCGAGUUUCGCUCUUGUUGUCCUGUUGCCAAGACUGGAGUGGAAUGGCGCCAUCUUGGCUCACCAGAACCUCCGCCAUUCGGGUUCAAGCAAUUCUUCUGCCUCAGCCUCCCAAGUAGCUAAGAUUACAGGCAUGCACCACCAUGCCCAGCUGAUUUUGUAUUUUUUUUUUUAGUAGAGAUGGGGUUUUUUUAUGUUAGGCUGGUCUCGAACUCUUAACCUCAGGUGAUCUGCCCGCCUCCGCCGCUGCAAGUUUUGUGAUUACAGGUGUGAGCCAGUGCACCUGGCUGUCUCUUAAAUCUUUGAGCACAAAAACAAACAAACAAACAAUUUACAUUGCUAGAGUCCCUGGCUGCUUUUGAAUUCAAAAUAUAUUGAUGUAUUAGCAUACAAUUCAAACGUAGCUUUGAAGAUUAAUCUUGCUUAAACAAAUUUCAUGCUUUUUUCUCAUUAUUCUAAUUUUUAGAAUUCUACUUUCAAAAGUAAACUAAGUUUUAAUUUGCCAUCAGGAAAUUUGAGAAAUGAUCAUUUGGUGUAUUCACUAUUGGUGAAAUAGAGGUUUAUUGAGCAAAUUAAUAGGGCAAAUUGGCUUCAAGAAAAGAUUUUGAAAAAUAUUCAUCAAAAGUUAGUAGAGCACUGUUACCAAUGGGAUAGGUGGAACUCAUUGGGAUCACUUUUGCAAAGUUUUUCUUCAAAAUACAUGUUGGCAGAUACAUAUAUCCUCCAAUCUCCACUUUUCCCUCUAUCUCCAGGCACUGAGAAGCCCUUUAGAAAAACAGCAUCUUUUGGCACUCGACCAGAUCACCCAAUCACAGUCCACACCCUAAGAAAGUUUCUUUUGAUUCUGUCCUUCUGAGACCACCCACAGCUCCUCAGGCUGUGCUCCUCCCUCACCGUGAAGGAUGGUAGAGAACAGUCUUCGGCCUGAGACUCAUCCCUAGCUUGGGAAGUUGCAUCCAUGUUUAGAUUCAGCGAGUUAGAAACACAUUUCUUCUGACUAUUUGCGAUUGGAGGACGAUCCCAGAUGGCCGUUUAGGAACAGCUCAGGAUUGCAGCUCCCAGUGAAAGCGCAGAGGGUCAGUGGACGCCGCGUUUUUAUUGCCCACAGACUAGGAAAUUCCCGGGUGGAGGUGCUCCACGGUCGCCAGUGCAGCUGUUUCGGCCAGCGCGGCAGUGCCGGCCAGCGCCGCUGCUUUGCCCCGCGCGGCUGCUUUGUCAGCGCCCCGGAGCCGCAGUUCUCUGUACAAAAUACACCGGUCCGGGUGCCCUUUUGGCUGGCGAUUGGAGCCAUGGGAAGUCGCUCAUUCGCCGGUUCAAAAAGGGGACUGAGCAGAGAACCAGGACAGUAGAUUCCAG
rnacentral:lncRNA from 1 species